GAUGAACGCUGGCGGCGUGCCUAAUACAUGCAAGUCGAGCGAACAUAUGAGGAGCUUGCUCCUCUAACGUUAGCGGCGGACGGGUGAGUAACACGUGGAUAACCUACCUAUAAGACUGGGAUAACUUCGGGAAACCGGAGCUAAUACCGGAUAAUAUAUUUAACCGCAUGGUUCAAUAGUGAAAGACGGUUUUGCUGUCACUUAUAGAUGGAUCCGCGCCGCAUUAGCUAUUUGGUAAGGUAACGGCUUACCAAGGCAACGAUGCGUAGCCGACCUGAGAGGGUGAUAGGCCACACUGGAACUGAGACACGGUCCAGACUACUACGGGAGGCAGCAGAAGGGAAUCUUACGCAAUGGGAGAAAGCCUGACGGAGCAAAGCCGCGUGAGUGAUGAAGGUCUUCGGAUCGUAAAACUCUGUUAUUAGGGAAGAACAAAUGUGUAAGUAACUAUGCACGUCUUGACGGUACCUAAUCAGAAAGCCACGGCUAACUACGUG
rnacentral:rRNA from 1 species